UCUGUGGCUCGGUUUCUCUCCUGCUGCUCCUUCAUCUGACGCAUCAGCGCCACCUGGUGGAAAAAUACAACACAGCAGGAGCUUAUCAGCACUGCAACAAGAGAAGUAUAAACAAGAAAGUGAAAAAAACCCUAUUCCUUUACCUUGGUCUUCUUCAUUUCGGUCACGUCCUGCUGGAGUUUCUUGAGCUGCUUCUCGUACUGUGACUGGUUCUUCAGCAGGCGGGCGUGCUCCUUCUGAGCGGACUGGAGCUUCUGCAGCUCUUUGUUCAUGGAGCUCAGCUUCCUCUCAUACUCCGCCUUGACCUUCUUGGCUUUCUCAUCCGUACCCGACUCCAUUGAACCUGGAGAUGAACAAAAAAACCAUCAUCAGCUUCUGCUCGUACUGCUGUUUGAGAGUGUGCAGGCGCCGCUGGCUGUUCUCCAGCUCGUCUAUCAGCUUCUGCUUGAUGGCGAUCUCACAGUUCUUCAGAGUCAGACCCAUCAGAUGUCUCAUCUCCCGCCACGUCAAAGUCCUCCUCCUCACCAUCUGCAUCCUCGCCGUCUUCGUGGUCGCUGCCCUCCUGGCAACAUAUGAAGUACACACACGAAGAAGACAAUAAAAACACACUAUCUUCAAACAGGAA